UACGAAGGGGGGCUAGCGUUGUUCGGAAUCACUGGGCGUAAAGGGCGCGUAGGCGGCCGAUCAAGUCGGGGGUGAAAGCCUGUGGCUCAACCACAGAAUUGCCUUCGAUACUGGUUGGCUUGAGACCGGAAGAGGUAAGUGGAACUGCGAGUGUAGAGGUGAAAUUCGUAGAUAUUCGCAAGAACACCAGUGGCGAAGGCGGCUUACUGGUCCGGUUCUGACGCUGAGGCGCGAAAGCGUGGGGAGCAAACAGG
rnacentral:rRNA from 1 species